AGUGAACGCUGGCGGCGUGCUUAACACAUGCAAGUCGAGCGAAUGGAUUAAGAGCUUGCUCUUAUGAAGUUAGCGGCGGACGGGUGAGUAACACGUGGGUAACCUGCCCAUAAGACUGGGAUAACUCCGGGAAACCGGGGCUAAUACCGGAUAACAUUUUGAACCGCAUGGUUCGAAAUUGAAAGGCGGCUUCGGCUGUCACUUAUGGAUGGACCCGCGUCGCAUUAGCUAGUUGGUGAGGUAACGGCUCACCAAGGCAACGAUGCGUAGCCGACCUGGGAGGGUGAUCGGCCACACUGGGACUGAGACACGGCCCAGACUCCUACGGGAGGCAGCAGUAGGGAAUCUUCCGCAAUGGACGAAAGUCUGACGGAGCAACGCCGCGUGAGUGAUGAAGGCUUUCGGGUCGUAAAACUCUGUUGUUAGGGAAGAACAAGUGCUAGUUGAAUAAGCUGGCACCUUGACGGUACCUAACCAGAAAGCCACGGCUAACUACGUGCCAGCCGCCGCAGUAA
rnacentral:rRNA from 1 species